rnacentral:rRNA from 1 species
AAGCGUUUAUGACCAGACUUGGGCUUGGUUAAUCAUCUGGGGUUCUCCCCAGUGCACUUUUCCAGUCCAGGCCAGCAUCAGUUUUCCCCGGGGGAUAAAGGCGGCGGGAAUGU